rnacentral:tRNA from 1 species
GCCCGGGUGGCGGAAUCGGUAGACGCGCGGGUCUCAAAAACCCGUUCCCUCUGGGAGUGCCGGUUCGAUCCCGGCUCCGGGUA